rnacentral:lncRNA from 1 species
CGGAGCUCCUGGCUUUGACCUAAGCCUGAGCGUCCCUCCCACAGGCCGGAGCUCUCUCGUUGGUGCUGCACCUCCAUCCGGGGCUACAUGUCCCCUCCACCUUUCUCACCCAACACUGGACGGCAGGGAAGCCCUGUGAGGGAAGAGGGGGCUCCCAGAGUGAAUGGGCAUUGGUCAGUGGGGCUUGCGGCCCUAUCUCCCCAGGGAGGGAG